UGGACUUGAUGACCUCCAAGGUCCCUCCCAACAUCAUCAUCAUCAUCAUCAUCAUCAUCAUCAUCAUUAUUAUUAUUACUUUCAAGUUACAAACUUUUGCCGAUAUGAAGAACCCUGUCUGCAACUCCAACCUAAAAUGUGCCAGACGUUAGGAAAAGGAACCCUCCAAGGAUUUCAAGAUAAGAAAUAUUCCAACUCUUGCUAGCUGUCAGUCUUUACGGAAUGAAAUGAUGUUAAAGUCUCUCAGUAAACCAAGUGUUCCACUGCUAAUUUUAUUACACGCAAAAAUGCAAAGUGGAAGAAAUGGUCCAGUUGCACAACAUCCUUUGGUUAUAUUGUGAGCCGAGCAUCUGGAAGUGCUUAUAGAGCUGCUCUGAAUGCCAGUUGUCCUGGGAUUAGUGAACAGAAAUAAAAUUAAUAGUAGUUUUAUUCCCUGGUCAGGGGAAUUAAAGGCCACAAGGAAGAUUUACCCACUGCCUUCCCAGAAAAAUAUGGCAAAGAAAAAAAUAAAG